rnacentral:rRNA from 1 species
UACGAAGGGGGCUAGCGUUGUUCGGAUUUACUGGGCGUAAAGCGCACGUAGGCGGAUCGUUAAGUCGGGGGUGAAAUCCUGGAGCUCAACUCCAGAACUGCCUUCGAUACUGAGAGUCUUGAGUCCGGGAGAGGUGAGUGGGAACUGCGAGUGUAGAGGUGAAAUUCGUAGAUAUUCGCAAGAACACCAGUGGCGAAAGGCGGCUCACUGGCCCGGUACUGACGCUGAGGUGCGAAAGCGUGGGGAGCAAACAGG